rnacentral:rRNA from 1 species
CAGGUCUAACACAUGCAAGUCGAGCGGUAACAGGCCUUCGGGUGCUGACGAGCGGCGGACGGGUGAGUAAUGCUUGGGAACUUGCCUUUCGGAGGGGGAUAACCAUUGGAAACGAUGGCUAAUACCGCAUAACGUCUACGGACCAAAGUGGGGGAUCUUCGGACCUCACACCGAGAGAUAGGCCCAAGUGAGAUUAGCUAGUUGGUGGGGUAAAGGCUCACCAAGGCGACGAUCUCCAGCUGUUCUGAGAGGAUGAUCAGCCACACUGGGACUGAGACACGGCCCAGACUCCUACGGGAGGCAGCAGUGGGGAAUAUUGCACAAUGGGGGAAACCCUGAUGCAGCCAUGCCGCGUGUGUGAAGAAGGCCUUCGGGUUGUAAAGCACUUUCAGUGGUGAGGAAGGCUAUCGUGUUAAUAGCGCGGUAGAUUGACGUUAGCCAUAGAAGAAGCACCGGCUAACUCCGUGCCAGCAGCCGCGGUAAUACGGAGGGUGCGAGCGUUAAUCGGAAUUACUGGGCGUAAAGCGUACGUAGGCGGCUCAUUAAGCAAGAUGUGAAAGCCCCGGGCUCAACCUGGGAAUGGCAUUUUGAACUGGUGAGCUAGAGUUUUGAAGAGGGUGGUAGAAUUUCCAGUGUAGCGGCGAAAUGCGUAGAUAUUGGAAGGAGUACCAGUGGCGAAGGCAGCCACCUGGUCAAGAACUGACGCUGAGGUACGAAAGCGUGGGGAGCAAACAGGAUUAGAUACCCUGGUAGUCCACGCCGUAAACGAUGUCAACUAGUUGUUCGUUUCAUAAACGAAGUGAGUAACGCAGCUAACGCACUAAGUUGACCGCCUGGGGAGUCGGCCGCAAGGUUAAAAC